rnacentral:rRNA from 1 species
AGCGAACGCUGGCGGCAGGCCUAACACAUGCAAGUCGAACGAAGCCUUCGGGCUUAGUGGCGGACGGGUGAGUAACACGUGGGAACGUACCUUUUGGUUCGGAAUAACGCAGAGAAAUUUGCGCUAAUACCGAAUGAGCCCUUAGGGGGAAAGAUUUAUCGCCGAAAGAUCGGCCCGCGUUGGAUUAGGUAGUUGGUGUGGUAAAGGCGCACCAAGCCUACGAUCCAAAGCUGGUCUGAGAGGAUGAUCAGCCACACUGGGACUGAGACACGGCCCAGACUCCUACGGGAGGCAGCAGUGGGGAAUCUUGCGCAAUGGGCGAAAGCCAGACGCAGCCAUGCCGCGUGAAUGAUGAAGGUCUUAGGAUUGUAAAAUUCUUUUACCAGGGACGAUAAUGACGGUACCUGGAGAAAAAGCCCCGGCUAACUUCGUGCCAGCCGCCGCCGUAACAC